rnacentral:rRNA from 1 species
UUAGUAACGGCGAGUGAACAGGGAUUAGCCCAGCACCGAAGCCUGUGGCCAUUUGGUUACUAGGCAAUGUGGUGUUCAGGUCAUUCCGCAGAGACGCUGCUCCACUCUAAGUCCAUCAAUGAGUACGGUAGUACAGACUUGGCCCACAGAGGGUGAAAGGCCCGUGAGGGUGGAGAAUCAGGGCAGGUCAGUGUCUCUCUGGAUAGACCUUGGAGUCGGGGUUGUUUGUGAAUGCAGCCCAAAGUGGGUGGUAAACUCCAUCCAAGGCUAAAUACAAGCACGAGUCCGAUAGCGAACAAGUACCGUGAGGGAAAGUUGAAAAGUACUUUGAAGAGAGAGUAAACAGUGCGUGAAACCGCUCAGAGGUAAACGGGUGGAGUUGAACUGCAAGCCCUGAGAAUUCAGCUGGUGAGCGUGGUUUGAGCUUGGUCAAAUUGGUUGUACACUGGGGUCUGCGUAGUAGCAGGUCUCUGCCUUCGGGCGGGGAUGCGCGAGGCACUCAUCAGGUGUUGCGCGCUUCAGUAGUAUUCGGGCCUGCUCGCCAGUGCAUUUUCUCUGGGUGUUCACCACGACCGGCGCUGCUGUCUGGCUGUCAUGGUUAAACCGGUCUUGCUUUGUCCUUGUGGCUUUGCUUGGUCGGGAUGGCAGGUAGCUUGUGGACUCGUCUGGGGCAACUUGGACAAUGGGUCUUCAGGUGUAAUCAGCUGACUGUGAUGGUUCUGUGCAGUGUGUCGGAGACGGCGGCUUGUGGUAUGAACGCGCGUGCCUUGUCUGCUGGCUUGUUCGGGUUUGGUUGCUAUGUUGCUUGUUUCUGCAAGCCUAGCGAUAGCCUGGGCCUGUUGGCGGAUGGUUAUGUGCGGGAUGCUGUUCAGGGCCAAUAGUCUGUGGUGUAGUGGUAGACUUUCCACCCGACCCGUCUUGAAACACGGACCAAGGAGAGUAACAUGUGUGCGAGUCAUUGGGCGUAACGAAACCCACAGGCGCAGUGAAAGUAAAGGUCUGGCUUGUCCGGACUGAGGUGAGAUCUUGUCGUGUCUUACGCGCGGUACCACCAAGCAUUGAACGGCGAGCGCAUCACCGGCCCGUCCCAUGGCGUAGUCACAUAGGCUUUGUCCCAGUGCACCGCCGGGGCGGAGCAUGAGCAUACAUGUUGAGACCCGAAAGAUGGUGAACUAUGCUUGCGCAGGUUGAAGCCAGAGGAAACUCUGGUGGAGGACCGUAGCGAUUCUGACGUGCAAAUCGAUCGUCAAACGUGAGUAUAGGGGCGAAAGA